rnacentral:RNase_P_RNA from 1 species
GUAGGAAAGAGGAAGGAAGUUCUUGCGUACGAAGUGUUCCUACACAUGGAAGCAAGAGGGAAGGUCUGAGAUGCUAUUCUUCAUUAGAGAUAUUGGUUUGCGAGUAGCAAAUGGCUGUCGAACAGAAAGGAGCUUCUUCGGAAGACUGAAAAUGACAAGCUGGCACGUACAUCUCGAUUGAGUCAGAUUUCCUACACCCGCACGUACGAGCGGGACAACUCAAUUCAGACUACUACUUGCCUAC